UACCCGCAGCACAAGUGGUGGUCAUUAUUAUUGGGCCUAAAGCGUCCGUAGCUGGCUUGUUAGAUGCCUGGGUAAAUCGAUGCGCUCAACGUAUCGACUUCCGGGUAGACCGGCAAGCUCGAGACCGGGAGAGGUGUAGGCUACUCGAGGGGUAGGGGUAAAAUGCGUAGAGAUGUGGAGGAACACCAGUGGCGAAGGCGGAUCUCUGGGCCUUACCUGACGCUCAGGUGCGAAAGCUAGGGGAGCGAACAGG
rnacentral:rRNA from 1 species